ensembl:lncRNA
GGCGGUGAGGAGUGAGGAGGAGCCCGGCUGUUUAUUCAUUCACGUCAGUCCCUCCUCCUCCGUCCCCUUCCUUCCUGCUCCGCGCCACGGCUCUCCGCCGCUCCAACUCUCCCCCGAUAUCCACCAUAAUAUUCACUAUCAUCACAGUCACGUCGCCACCAUAAACCCAUUUUGGAAUCAGAUGGCGUCGCAAGGGGGGAUGGAGAGAGCUGGAGAGAGACGCAUAAAGGAGUAGGGGCUACAACAGGCCAGAUCCAGCCCAAUUCUGUCCAAUACCAAUCCAUACAUAGCCCGUUAUGACAUUCGUCUUCUUGCGUAGGCCCGUCUUGGAACAAAGUUUUCCCGUUAAGUUGUAGUAGGGCCCUUUUUAAAGAUACAGUGCAAGUCAAUAAGAAUAUGAGUAUUAUGAAGAGCAAAGUGAGAAGAGCAGGCUUGUAUAUGGGGUAACGUUAUGCCACUAACCAAGAAGCUCCGUUUACUCGCAACCCCUUUUGCUUCGUGUCAAAAUGUGAGACUGCAGAUGCAAUGCUGCAGCAACACCUAUAUGUGUGCAAGUGUUCAUUAUGGGUGUAUAGAUAGGGUAUUAAUGGGUAAUACAUGCUACCCUCACCAGUUGGCCGAGGCGUCACUUGAUUGUCAGAAAUUGUUGCCUGUGCCAUUCAAGCUAGUGAGUUAUGACCAUAAUCUGCACUGCAUAACCGAGGAAGUCCCCUUGUGCUUCUCUAAUCAUCCUAGGUAUGUUCCUCAUAGGCAUUUCUAAGGCAGAUGCCGUUUUUUAACUUGGAUCCCCGUUGUUUUGAUGUUGCUACCAGUUAGGCUGUUGCAUCUGAAAUAAUGUAUAAAGCCCUGGGUCUGCACAUGAUGCAACGUCUAGUUCAAUAGUACGUGUAUGAUGGCUCAAUAUGCGUGUUCACAGCAAUAGCCUGCAUGCUGCACAUGCCAGACAGGCCCGUAUUCGGUGGAGUUCAGUGGCUAACAAAGGUUACUACGACAUCCUCCUUGUUGGCCAUAGACAUCCUUGUGUCUGUUGAGCUGUUUUCAGUUUGAAGAGGACUGCAUCCUUUCUCAAACAUCUUCACCCACCUACUUUGAACAAAGUGAAACUGCCAUCACAUUUCAAGGAAGCUUGUGUUUGUGUGUGACUGCAUAAGGUUUAGUGGCUCUUCAGUGGGUUGAUGUUGUGUCUCAUAACUGUGCGCUACUGUUGCUUGGCCUGCCUUAUGUACUGUGGUCGUCUGUCUUGUGUGCUGUCUUGCCAGUUAUAUUUAUUUCAGUUUGUGCCCAGCUGAGUUGAGUGCUGCAUUUAUCAGACUGCCUUUAUCAGCCCCACUGCUCUUUAGAGUGGAAUGGUUUCUUGUAGUGAUAUAAUGGUGUCGAUUUGCUACAUCACUAGUGUUGUAGUUAGAUAGGUGUUUCUAAAUUAUUAUUAAAUAGUAACAACCUCAAAUGUAAUAAAUUGUUGAUUAAUUAGCCGUCAUAAAAUCCAGCAUCAUAGACAUCAUCAAAAUACAUGCCGCUGAAUUAUUAUUGGAUGUAUUGUUGUCUUGUUCGAUACCCAUUUCCCAAAGCUCAGAUCAAUAGGGAUAUAUUGGUAUUUCUGCUACACAACCCCACGCUGAGCUCUGGAUCAUGUCACAUAGUCUAUGAAUCAUAGCAGACAGUGUAGGCCAAAGCGUGUAGGCCAGCAACAUGGCAGGCCCGGCCAUCGGCAACAUAAUCCGGGCUAGGUCGACCGUAAAGACCCGUUUAAUUUCCCGGUCACCCAAAAUCUCUCCACUCUCUCCCGCUCAUUCAAUAAUGUAUUGAACGUCUAUGUAGACGUAGUAGAAUGGAGGUUGUGGUGCUAGGAUAGAGUUGGGGUAAAGGGUUCAGAACAGCAGCUGAUGGUGUCAGCACAUUGCAGUGCUUUGCUCUGCUGCGGGCUGGGUUAAAAAAAAAAAGAGGGGGAGAGAAAGGAUGAUGUUUCUGGAAGCACAAAGGCCUAAUGUUUUAGGGCUUGUUGGCUAUAGCUGUAGCUCUCCACCAGCUAUAGCUAACAAGUGCUCUUCCAAAACUUGUUUUAAAUCCUGUAUAUAUUCUUCCGGAUGUCUGUUGUGUGUUGAUGUUCUUGUAGGUCAGCACUGGGCUAUGCCUGGAUUGUAUCAUAGAUUGCAGCUCAAAAUGGAAAAUAAUAAUAAUUGACCCAAUCUUGUACUGCUUUAGAAACGUGAGCCAAAGAAUAAAGGCAGCAAAAGCAAUGCUUCUUUCAUUUCAACUUCCUACAAGUAUCAUGUCUCUAGAAAGCAUGGUAUAUAUGCUCAGCUCUUAUGCAGGAGACUUCCAUUGUGAUCCAAAAAACACAUUCUCCAGCUUUGUUGUGCAUACAUUUAUCACUAUGAUGUACCAAGAGUUGGAGAGAGAGACAUUAAGGUCCUUCUCAUUCAGGCAAUCAGAAAGACCUACGAUUACAGAAGAGGGCAUUUCAAUGCUGUAUGCCAAGAAGAGUAAUAUGUGUACAAGCACUAUACUAACUGUAUGAGAUGGUGUUGUGUGUAUUAUGGUUAAACUUUUUUUUGGGGGGAUAAAGCAUGUUUGAGCGAUCUUUGAAAAUUUGGCACAUAAAAUGCAUGUCAUUUACACUCUGCUAAUUGUGACACACACACACACACACACACACACACACACACACACACACACACACACACACACACACACACACACACACACACACACACACACACACACACACACACACCCUAAUGAGAUCUCAGGUAACACUGGCAUAAAACGUGGCUCCAACAACGUGAUUGUUUGCCAUGUUGACCAUAUUCCCUCUUUUGAGUCCUCCUAUCUACUGCUUCGGUUAAAAUGUGAACGUGUGAGUCCUGCCUGUCAGCUUGGGCUGGCGUCUAGUCUUGUUAAGCGGGGCUUUGCCAAUGUUCUGUUGUGUGAAGUUGUUACCAGUUGCAUGGCCAGUUGGUGUGGACUUCCUCCCCAGUCAAGCCAACCUCUCAACAUGAGAUGGAAUCAACUGGGGCUCUUGUUGUUUUGUGUAAAUUAUAUAUUAUUUUUUUUAACCUUUCAAAGUAUUUUUAAUUAUCCCUUUAUUUAUUAUUGAUUCAUUUUGUAUUAAAGCUCCUUUUUUGUUUACAGUAUUCCUCAUUUUCUAUCCUCGAUUACAUUGUUAUUGUAUUUUUUUUACAUUUUGACUGAAAUCGGUGUGUUUGCUAGCCAAUGAUAUAUAUAUAUAUAUAUAUAUAUAUAUAUAUAUAUAUAUAUAUUUUGUAUCAGUUAUAUACCUGCCAAAAUAUAACCCUAUGUUAAUAAAUUUGUCCCCAACUUCUACUGAAUUUAACAUCACUAUUGUGAAGGAAACUGACGAUAGGCUGUUUUUAGAAUGGCUAACAUAGCUAGCAACGGUUGUUUAAGUAUUGUCAUGCAGGCCUUUUAAUUUUACCGGAGAGAUCAUCGAGCGAGAAUAAACACAUUCCUAUGGGAAGAAAUUAUGGGAAUGCAAAAUCCAAAGACACUCUUGUUGAAUUGUAUCACUUCUGACUAUACACAAAGUACUUUUGGUUUUGUGUGUGUGUGUGUGUGUGUGUGUGUGUGUGUGUGUGUGUAACAUAAUUAUUUAUCAUACGCGAGUAUCUUAACUUGAAGACUACAUGAUACAAUAAGAGACCAGUUGCCUAAUUUAAUCUGCAACACAAAACAAGCUUUUGUGGUUUUGUGUCAUACAAGUCUCAAUGACAACAAAUAAUAAUAUUGAUCACCCUCUGCCACUCCUAAGUAGUACUCACGCAAUCCUAAAUCAAAUGUUCAAGGAUCAAUACCCAUCUGUCUAUGUUUAAUUUUGAUUCUCUUAAUUUCCUGGUUUUGCUGAGGAAUGCUUGAAGAAUGCCUCUUCCCAAGUCUCUUGACUCGGUUAUGUGUUAUAUGAUGCCAUAGAAAGAAAACAAGAACAAUGUUUAAUCAUUUCCCUAGUCCCCUUUUGCAUUAUUUUAACCUCUCCUCUCGUCCAUCUAUCUUGUCUUUGUUUGUCGUGUAUGUGUUUUUUUUUUGUUUGUGAGUGAUGUGGAGGGGUUAUUUUUAGGACAAAUUCUAACUAAUCAAACAACAAUAUCACUGAUUGACUGAUUUGAAGGGGGCACUAUAACAGCCCACUUUUUGUUAACGCAACCAGUCUCUGAACUGUUGUUGAGACCUCAAUAAGUACAUCUAAAUGUUGACCAAUCAUUUGUGAAUUUAACACAUUCAUCUGGACUACACCAAAUGAGGGUUAUCACUCUUUCGAAGCCAGUGGCCACAAUGCUUUUCUGCUAAAGUAGCCUGUUAUCCUGGCAUGUACAUGGAAGGGUGACAAUAAGGAGAGUUAAGCUUAAUUUAUACUCCUGCGUUGAAUAGCUGCCGUGGGUACGCCGUAGCUUACCUGCACCACUCCAAAAAUGUAAUUACUCGUCGGGAUGCAGAACGAUAAAUGUGAGCACUGGGUUGGAUAACCACAGUAUACCCAUGGCGGCGAUUCGAUACAGAAGUAUAAAUCAAGCUUUAGUGCUAGCGCCAGUCCUUUGUUGGAUGCAUGCAAAUGUAGUUCUUGCUGCAGUUUGUACUGAACCACUGCUCGCUACAUUCAUUUUAAACGUCUCUUGGUGUCUUUUGCCUGCAACAAGUCUGUGAAAUCAAAUUGUAAUUUGGCUUUUUCAACAAUGCAUAAUGUUAUCUUAAUUCACUAAUGCUUCCUUGGCCAACACCCCCGCGGUUAUUUGGGAUUCCCACUUCGGCCACACCAUGCUAAGAAAUGUAUGUAUUCGCUGGACUGUAAGACUUCAGUAUGCCGAACACUGAAAUCUAAAAUAGUUGAAUGGUAAAUCAUAUUUGAAUAAGAAUUGUACUCUGAUUGACUGGUUGGUGUCAGGGGAUCUCACUUGCCAUGUUACCUUGCUCUAAUUUGUGCCAAUCAAAAUUUGUGGUUGCAAUGACCCCUGUUGCGCCAGAGGUGGCGCUGUCAUUGUCAUUUUUUUUUCCUCUCAGUGUUAGGUUACUCUUUAAAGAGCGUCCUGUCUUGUUUGGAAAUUGAUUUCCAUCCACAGUAAUUGGGUUCUCUCUCAGCAAGGUUGUGUGCGACUGUUCUAACGUGUGUGUUUGUGUGUGUGGCUCAUAGGGCUGUCAAAAUUGCUCAAAAAUGACAUUCGAAUGUUCGUUUGGAAAAAAAUCACGAAUUCGAACUAUUCGAAUAUCUGGUUGCCUAUUUUACGCAGUUGCCGUCAAUAUGUCAAUAAUGCGACAAAACCAUGGUUCAAAUUAGUGGGAUAUAUAUACAUCCUAUAAACAGCCCAGUAACGUGGAGGCCUAAUCAUGAAAAGCCACAACUUUGUAUCGCUUGCAUUUCAC